GCCAGUAUAGUGGUAAGUCCCUCGGCUUGUAACCGAGUGGGUUCGGGUUCGAAUCCCUAGUAAGACA